rnacentral:rRNA from 1 species
UACGUAGGGGGCAAGCGUUGUCCGGAUUCAUUGGGCGUAAAGAGCGUGUAGGCGGCCAGGUAGGUCGGUUGUGAAAACUGGAGGCUCAACCUUCAGAGGUCGACCGAAACCAUCUGGCUAGAGUCCGGGAGAGGAGAGUGGAAUUCCUGGUGUAGCGGUGAAAUGCGCAGAUAUCAGGAAGAACACCCGUGGCGAAAGCGGCUCUCUGGAACGGUACUGACGCUGAGACGCGAAAAGCGUGGGGAGCGAAACAGG